rnacentral:misc_RNA from 1 species
UGCGUUCUUCUGGCCGAUGCCAUGAAUGUACUGAAGCGCGAUCAGAACGCGCUUGUUGGUCGGAAUGUUGACGCCUGCAAUACGGGCCACGGUCUUCGCUCCUGUCGCCGUCCGCUCCGGACAGCUUGUCUUUGUUAGGUCUCUGGCGUCGGGCGGGUGUUCACAAACGCAAACACGACGCCCUCCCCACUUUUCUUUCGGGGCCCGGCAUCGUCUGAACUAUCCGACUGGAUGCGGGCUUAUUAAUGUAUUUAGCGGCGUUUCGUCAACCGCUUGGCGGUCU